rnacentral:rRNA from 1 species
GAGUUGUAAUCUGGAGAAGCGUUUUCCGUGUCGGACCGUGCACAAGUCUCUNGGAACAGAGCGUCAUAGAGGGUGAGAAUCCCGUUUAUGGCACGGACAACCGAUACUUUGUGAUACGUUUUCUAAGAGUCGAGUUGUUUGGGAAUGCAGCUCAAAAUGGGUGGUAAAUUCCAUCUAAAGCUAAAUAUAGGCGAGAGACCGAUAGCGAACAAGUACCGUGAGGGAAAGAUGAAAAGCACUUUGGAAAGAGAGUUAAACAGUACGUGAAAUUGUUGAAAGGGAAACGCUUGAAGUCAGUCGCGUCUUCUAGGACUCAGCCUUGCUUCGGUUAGGUGUACUUCCUGGUUUGACGGGUCAACAUCGAUUUUGAUCGACGGAUAAAGGAGAAGGGAACGUGGCACCUCCGGGUGUGUUAUAGCCCUCUUCGUAUACGUCGAUUGGGAUCGAGGACUGCAGCACGCCCUUGUGGCCGGGGGUUCGCCCUACGUAUCGUGCUUAGGAUGUUGACAUAAUGGCUUUAAGCGACCCGUCUUGAAACACGGACCAAGGAGUCUAACAUGCUCGCGAGUGUUAGGGUGGAAAACCCUUGCGCGUAAUGAAAGUGAAAGUUGGGACCUCUGCGAGGAGGGCACCGACGCCCGGCCCUGAAGUUUUCUGACGGUGCUGCGGUAGAGCGCGUAUGUUGGGACCCGAAAGAUGGUGAACUAUGCCUGAAUAGGGCGAAGCCAGAGGAAACUC